rnacentral:lncRNA from 1 species
CCACCUUCUUCUAACCCUGCACCACCUUUGAUUGGCCUAUCACUUAGGAUGCCUCUUGUAUGUUUAUAUGUUUGUUUUUUGCAUGCUUGCCUUAUGCAUCUAUGUGUUUCUUUUUGUAGAAGGAUAGGGUUUUCAAUAUUAUGUAAAAACUUUAAUUAUCAAUGCAAUGCUAUAUUUUAUGAAGAUGAUUGAAUGAGUACAUUCUUGUUUGAAAGAGUGAAUGACUAAUUAAUUGUCAUUGAAA